rnacentral:misc_RNA from 1 species
AAGUCGUAACAAGGUAACCGUAGGUGAACCUGCGGUUGGAUCAUUAAUAAAUGAUAGCUGCUAGUGGGUUGAUCUCCCCGUCGGGGAGAACCUCGCUAGUAGUUUAACAACCACUGUGAACUAUAAUGUACUCUUGCGCCGUUGCCGAACCGCUUGGUAAGGUAUUCGACGCAGCCUCAAGAAUCAACCUUUUAAACUUGACAUCUAAUUUAAGAAAUUAAAUUUAAACAACUUUAGACAACGUUUCUCUUGGCUCUCC